CAAGUUGAACUCCUUACUAACUAACAACUCCUUACUAACAACUCCUUACUUACUAACAACUCUUUCAUUUUUCAUCGCUGGAGGGGUUGCCCCCCUUCCUGAAAAUCCUGGCUCCGCCAUUGGACUUGUUGAUGAGUAGUAACAGUGUUGAUGAGUGGUAACAGUGUUUAAUGGGACAGGGGUGAUUAUAAGCAGGAUUACUGAGGAGCUGUGGUCAUUAUAAGGUAGUCGGGGUGGAGAAUGAGAAAUAAAAUAAUGAUGUUGUUGUUGACGAGGAGGAUGAUUAGAAGAGGUGGAGGAUUAGCCUAGGGAGGAUGAUGAUGGUGAGUGCUCGGAUAUGUUCGGUAAUUGUGGAAGUGACUUAAAGCUUUCGUGACUGCAGGAAUUCAUACUCUUGGCUCUUUCGGUAAAGUCACGUAGAUAGGUUCAAAGAAAAUAACCAAAACAAUCGCAACACAAGCAAUCUAUUACGACAGCUUGUGUUGGGAUCGAAACGUCGUAGUUUUUCGUAAUUUUUUUAAUUUUAUCUGAACCGAUCUCCGUGACUUUACCGAAACAUCCAAGAAUAAUUGUCUAAGUGGCCGCUAGGAGGCGCCAAGUGUCGCCUCACUCCGGGCUGAGCGGAGAGGGAGGCGCUGCUGUCCUUGCCGGCUUUGACACGACUGCGUGAGAAGUUCAUUGUGGGGUAGCGAACCUCUCCUACCCAUACUGUGCUGAGUCUGGUCAGUGGUGAGUUUGGUAAGAGGUGAGUGUGGUGAAUAGUGAACAUGGUGAGUUUCGUGAUUGAUGAGCUUAUUGAGUGUGGUGAACGUGGAGGUCAGUGUGUUUUGAGUGGUGAGCCCGACUGGUAAAUGAGUGGAGUGUAGAGUGUUGUGUAACACUGUGGUGAGUGGUGCAAGUGGCGAGGGUGGGUGCAUGUGUGAUGUUAGUCGUGAGUGUAGUGAGAAUGGUGUGAGUUGCGAGUGUGGGUGCGUGUGGUGAAUCUGACAACCGCUGUGAGUCGUAAUGCUAGUCGUAAGCACGUUGGUUGUGCGGUGAGUGGCGAGUAACGUGGGUGCAUGUGCGGUGAGUGUUGACUAGUGUGCAUAGUGGUUGGUGAGCGAUGAGACGGGGGAUACGUGGGGGGGGACGGGGUUCUGGGGGGGGCCCUGGCCGACCCCGCUGCGGCCUCCUCAAGCUGGCGUGCGCGCUGCUGGCGCUGCUUGUGGCCGUGCCGCUUGUCGCUCACUACUACCUGGCCCUCCCCAUGGACGCGCUGCCACUCUCCUCGCUGCGGCUGCACGCGGCGGGGCCGUGCGACAACCUGCCCCGCCUGCCGGCUGGGCCCGACCUCCCCGCCAGCGAGCUGUGCAGCCUGCACGAGGAGGUUAGUGAGCAGCUGGUCUUGCUGGAGGCGCGCCGGCGUGGCCUGAGCUCCGAGCUGGCACGACUGAUGGCACGCAUCGAGGCCUUCCGCCUGGGGGUGGAGGCCGCCCGGCAGGAGCUGGCGCAGCUGCGGCACGUCAUCGCGCAGACGGAGCGUGCGUACAAGGAGCUGCUGGAGCAAGCGCAGCCACGGCUGGCGCUCCCGGCACGCGUGGCCCCCAGUCCGAGCCGGCCAGAAUCGCUGGCCCCGCCGGCACACCCAUACGCCUGCCGCAUGCACUCGUGCUUUGACCACUCGCGCUGCCCGCUCACGGCGGGAUUCUCGGCACAUGCCUACCCGCCCGGCGACUACCCUGCGCUCUGGGCGCAGCUAGAGCCUCUGGCGCGGCACGCCUUCCGGGAGCACACCGCCAACGUGAGCGCCGACGCCCGCGCCGCCUGCGUGUUUCUGGUGCUCGUGGGGCCCCUACGCGCUGGCCUGCCUGUGCCGCCGGCCACCGAUGUGGAGCGCCAGCUGCGGGCGCUGCCCCACUGGCUGGGCGACGGGAGGAACCACCUACUUGUGCACCUGGCCCUGGCCGCGGGCGACCGCUCAGCGCUGGGCGCGGGUGUGGACACGGGUCGCGCAUUGCUGGCGGGGCCGUGCUCCGAGCCACUCCGCCCUCGCCCCGGCUUUGACCUGGUGCUGCCCCCCGUGGCGCACGUCCUCGACGAGCCAGACCCGCUGGCGCUAACCCCGCACGUUCCUGCCGCCCGGCGCCACUUGCUGGCUUUCCAGGGCGCCGCGCCGGAGGACAGGGGUGGCCUGGCCAGCGCGCUGCAUGGCCAGUGGCCCGGAGGCCGGGACGGCGCGCUGUUGGACUUUGCCUGCAGCGGAGACGUGGAGCCCGGCGGUGGUGGAGCCGACUGGGCGCUGUGUGGCUCACGGGACGAGCGCCUGAUGCUCCUGCGGGUUUCCACGUUCGCGCUGGUGCCGCUGCCGGAGCCGGCGGGAGCCGGGACAGUUGGCCCCGCGGCGCUCGUGCGGCUGAGCGAGGCGCUGGAGGCUGGUGCCGUGCCCGUGCUCCUCGGGGGGGACGCGCCGCCGCCGCUGCCCCUGGCCGACGUAAUCGACUGGCGGCAGGCGACGUUGCUCGUGGCGCGGCCGCACGCCACGGAGUUGCGGGGCUUGCUGCACGGCGUGAGCGAGGCAGAUGUGCUGGCGCUCCGCCGCCAGGGCCGCUUCCUGUGGCGAACGUACCUGGCGGGCGCGGGGGACGCACUGCGGUCGGCGCUGGCCGCCGUGCGCACGCGUCUGCAGCUGCCCCCCCCACCGGCGCCGGCCGCCCCUGCCCAGGAGCUCCCCCACCGCUCGGGGAAGCCACCCCCCCCGCCCCCGCCUCCGUCGUCCGACCUCGAACAGGUGGCUGGGCUGGCGGCCGAGGGCCCUCCGUUGGAGCUGGGCGGCAUGCAGGCCGAGCCCCCCUACGCCUCGCCCAGCUUCUUGCGUAACUUCACCGCGGCGCUGGUGGAGAGAGGCCGCGCAUGGAACUCCCCGCCAGGGCCCUUCCUGCUCUUCCCCUUCACCCCCUGGGACCCGCAGCUGCCCUCCGAGGCGCAGUUCCUGGGCUCGGGCGCAGGGUUUCGUCCCAUCGCGGGGGGCGCGGGGGGCUCGGGCCGCGAGUUCCAGGAGGCACUGGGCGGUAACGUGGCGAGGGAGCAAUUCACGGUGCUUAUGCCCACGUACGAGCGUGAUGAGGUGCUGAUGAGGUCGCUGGAGAGGCUCAACGGCCUCCCAUACCUGCACAAAGUGAUCGUGGUGUGGAACUCGCCCGGGCUCCCUGCCCCUGAGCUGCUGUGGCCCGACAUCGGGGUUCCCAUUCUGGUGGUACGCACGGAGCGGAAUAGCCUCAACAAUCGGUUCCUCCCGUACGAUGCCAUCCACACCGAGGCCAUCCUUUCCAUCGACGACGACGCCCACCUACGGCACGAUGAGAUAAUCUUCGGUUUCAGGGUUUGGCGCGAGGCCCGGGAUCGCAUCGUGGGGUUUCCUGGACGCUACCACGCGUGGGAUGCGCAGCACGGCUCGUGGCUCUACAACUCCAACUACUCCUGCGAGCUCUCCAUGGUGCUCACUGGCGCUGCGUUCUUCCACAAGUACUAUGCCUACCUCUACACGCUGGUGAUGCCACAGGCAAUACGCGACCUCGUGGAUGAGUUCACCAACUGCGAGGAUAUCGCAAUGAACUUCCUCGUGUCGCACAUCACGCAGAAGCCGCCGAUCAAGGUGACGUCGCGAUGGACGUUCCGCUGCCCCAGCUGCCCUCAGGCGUUGUCUCAGGACGAGUCUCACUUUGUGGAGCGCCACCGCUGCAUGGCGUUCCUCGUGCGCGUCUACGGCUACAUGCCGCUGCUGCACACGCAGCACCGUGCUGACUCUGUGCUGUUCAAGACGCGGCUACCGCACGAUAAAACAAAGUGCUUCAAGUUCAUCUGAGCCACCCAAACCACCGCGUCCCCAGCCAGCUGUUUGGCCAAAGGGGGCUAACCGGGCGCGGCAUGAGCUGGAGAACAGAAGGAUGUGGAACCAAUCAGACUUGCCGAUGACUGGCACCUGCGGUGCCUCUAUGGAGGCUAGUGAAGGACGCGACUGCGCAGUUGGAGGCAGUCACCCUCCUAUAAUGGAGGGUGGAGGAGCAAUGUUUACCACGAGGGGAGGGCCGGGUGGCGAAAACGCAGCGGGUUGUCACAGUAGGGAGCGCAGGUGGUGCAUCUUUCAGUCGUCUCAGUUAACCAAUGGCACAUGGGUCUGUCCCAUAAUCUCCGACCAGCAAGAUUUCUCCAUUGCACAUAGCCUAAGUGCACCGAGCACGGUGCAAGCACUGUUGUAAAAUCACCACCACUUGGUGGUUUGACAGUUUUUGUUUGGUAUCGUGAAUGCCCUGGUGGUGUUGGCGAGUGUGCUGGCACUGUGGCAGGCAAGGGGUGAGCGUCACCGCUCCAUUGAAGAAACUACCGGUGUGAAAAAGAUUAGAUUUUCCCAGAAAAGGUAGAGCUCAGUCAAUUGUCACACAAACAGAUAAUGCACCUGUAUUCGAAGAUACAGCAACAGGGUGGAGCUGUGUGUAGAUCUUUCUGGAGUGUACCUGUGUGGAGGUCUUGCUGGAGUGACGCUAUGGAGAUCCUAGCGUGGAGCUGUGCGGACGUUCUGCUGGAAUAUCUACUCAUGUCACCUUCUCUAGCUUCGUGGGACAAGCUCGUCCGGAGGCUUGACGGCGGGCGAGGGGGCAACAGUCCGUUGUCUGCAUCCACGAGCCAAAGAAGCCCAAAUGGAUGACGCAGUGACGGCGUUUCUUGGAACCACUGCCACCUGCUAGUACUGGAGGCCUCAACACAGCCUGCCCGACCAACCUUACCCCGAGGGCGAGCACUCCCAUUUGGCAACCAGUCUGAUAGCCCCCGUCUUUCUCCUUGGAGCUCAAUGCAAUGUAAUCGGACGUUUUGAAAAGCCAGCAAAAAAACAGGACACAGCGGCACACGAGGAGCGUAUUUGGGGACAAUUUAUUACAACAAACUGGAAGCGUUGCACUUGAACAAACUGUUUAUUAAAACUGAACCCAAAUACAGAAACAAGGG